rnacentral:tRNA from 1 species
GGGGGUAUAGCUCAGUUGGGAGAGCGCUUGCAUGGCAUGCAAGAGGUCAGCGGUUCAAUCCCGCUUACCUCCACCA